rnacentral:rRNA from 1 species
AUAAUGGGUCAGCGACUUAUAUUCUGUAGCAAGGUUAACCGAAUAGGGGAGCCGAAGGGAAACCGAGUCUUAACUGGGCGUUAAGUUGCAGGGUAUAGACCCGAAACCCGGUGAUCUAGCCAUGGGCAGGUUGAAGGUUGGGUAACACUAACUGGAGGACCGAACCGACUAAUGUUGAAAAAUUAGCGGAUGACUUGUGGCUGGGGGUGAAAGGCCAAUCAAACCGGGAGAUAGCUGGUUCUCCCCGAAAGCUAUUUAGGUAGCGCCUCGUGAAUUCAUCUCCGGGGGUAGAGCACUGUUUCGGCAAGGGGGUCAUCCCGACUUACCAACCCGAUGCAAACUGCGAAUACCGGAGAAUGUUAUCACGGGAGACACACGGCGGGUGCUAACGUCCGUCGUGAAGAGGGAAACAACCCAGACCGCCAGCUAAGGUCCCAAAGUCAUGGUUAAGUGGGAAACGAUGUGGGAAGGCCCAGACAGCCAGGAUGUUGGCUUAGAAGCAGCCAUCAUUUAAAGAAAGCGUAAUAGCUCACUGGUCGAGUCGGCCUGCGCGGAAGAUGUAACGGGGCUAAACCAUGCACCGAAGCUGCGGCAGCGACGCUUAUGCGUUGUUGGGUAGGGGAGCGUUCUGUAAGCCUGUGAAGGUGUACUGUGAGGUAUGCUGGAGGUAUCAGAAGUGCGAAUGCUGACAUAAGUAACGAUAAAGCGGGUGAAAAGCCCGCUCGCCGGAAGACCAAGGGUUCCUGUCCAACGUUAAUCGGGGCAGGGUGAGUCGACCCCUAAGGCGAGGCCGAAAGGCGUAGUCGAUGGGAAACAGGUUAAUAUUCCUGUACUUGGUGUUACUGCGAAGGGGGGACGGAGAAGGCUAUGUUGGCCGGGCGACGGUUGUCCCGGUUUAAGCGUGUAGGCUGGUUUUCCAGGCAAAUCCGGAAAAUCAAGGCUGAGGCGUGAUGACGAGGCACUACGGUGCUGAAGCAACAAAUGCCCUGCUUCCAGGAAAAGCCUCUAAGCAUCAGGUAACAUCAAAUCGUACCCCAAACCGACACAGGUGGUCAGGUAGAGAAUACCAAGGCGCUUGAGAGAACUCGGGUGAAGGAACUAGGCAAAAUGGUGCCGUAACUUCGGGAGAAGGCACGCUGAUAUGUAGGUGAAGUCCCUCGCGGAUGGAGCUGAAAUCAGUCGAAGAUACCAGCUGGCUGCAACUGUUUAUUAAAAACACAGCACUGUGCAAACACGAAAGUGGACGUAUACGGUGUGACGCCUGCCCGGUGCCGGAAGGUUAAUUGAUGGGGUCAGCGCAAGCGAAGCUCUUGAUCGAAGCCCCGGUAAACGGCGGCCGUAACUAUAACGGUCCUAAGGUAGCGAAAUUCCUUGUCGGGUAAGUUCCGACCUGCACGAAUGGCGUAAUGAUGGCCAGGCUGUCUCCACCCGAGACUCAGUGAAAUUGAACUCGCUGUGAAGAUGCAGUGUACCCGCGGCAAGACGGAAAGACCCCGUGAACCUUUACUAUAGCUUGACACUGAACAUUGAGCCUUGAUGUGUAGGAUAGGUGGGAGGCUUUGAAGUGUGGACGCCAGUCUGCAUGGAGCCGACCUUGAAAUACCACCCUUUAAUGUUUGAUGUUCUAACGUGGACCCGUAAUCCGGGUUGCGGACAGUGUCUGGUGGGUAGUUUGACUGGGGCGGUCUCCUCCUAAAGAGUAACGGAGGAGCACGAAGGUUGGCUAAUCCUGGUCGGACAUCAGGAGGUUAGUGCAAUGGCAUAAGCCAGCUUGACUGCGAGCGUGACGGCGCGAGCAGGUGCGAAAGCAGGUCAUAGUGAUCCGGUGGUUCUGAAUGGAAGGGCCAUCGCUCAACGGAUAAAAGGUACUCCGGGGAUAACAGGCUGAUACCGCCCAAGAGUUCAUAUCGACGGCGGUGUUUGGCACCUCGAUGUCGGCUCAUCACAUCCUGGGGCUGAAGUAGGUCCCAAGGGUAUGGCUGUUCGCCAUUUAAAGUGGUACGCGAGCUGGGUUUAGAACGUCGUGAGACAGUUCGGUCCCUAUCUGCCGUGGGCGCUGGAGAACUGAGGGGGGCUGCUCCUAGUACGAGAGGACCGGAGUGGACGCAUCACUGGUGUUCGGGUUGUCAUGCCAAUGGCACUGCCCGGUAGCUAAAUGCGGAAGAGAUAAGUGCUGAAAGCAUCUAAGCACGAAACUUGCCCCGAGAUGAGUUCUCCCUGACUCCUUGAGAGUCCUGAAGGAACGUUGAAGACGACGACGUUGAUAGGCCGGGUGUGUAAGCGCAGCGAUGCGUUGAGCUAACCGGUACUAAUGAACCGUGAGG